rnacentral:rRNA from 1 species
GUAGGGGGGGCAAGCGUUGUCCGGAAUUAUUGGGCGUAAAGAGCUCGUAGGGCGGUUCGGUAAGUCGGGGUGUGAAAAUCCAGGGGCUCAACCCUGGGACGCCACCCGAUACUGCUGUGACUAGAGUCCGGUAGAGGAGCGUGGAAUUUCUGGUGUAGCGGUGAAAUGCGCAGAUAUCAGAAGGAACACCAGCGGCGAAGGCGGCGCUCUGGGCCGGUACUGACGCUGAGGAGCGAAAGCGUGGGGAGCAAACAGGAUUAGAUACCCUGGUAGUCCACGCCGUAAACGUUGGGCACUAGGUAUGGGGUCUUAUCAACGGAUUCCGUGCCGUAGCUAACGCAUUAAGUGCCCCGCCUGGGGAGUACGGCCGCAAGGCUA